rnacentral:lncRNA from 1 species
AUGAAUCCAAAAAUUCCACAAAAAAUCAUGAUCAAUCCUAACUUCCCUAAGAAGCAUCACACACAAAAUCACAUCAUUUGGCAUUUAUUUGGCAUGGCAAAGAAAUUCAUCAAGUUGAGAAAGCAAAGGUGUGACAUACAUUGUCACACCUACAUUAACAUGAGCAUAUCUCAGCAACCACAAAUGAUAAAAAUGCAAACUCAACACCAAAAUGUCCAGCCAGAUGUCUAGUUUAAGCAUGCCAAAUUUCACAGGCAUUGGAUUAAAACUCAUCAUUUAACAAAGCAUAUGGCAAGCAAGGUUCAAAUUGGACAUGCAUACACAAACCCUAGGCCAAAU